ACGUGGGCAACCUGCCUGUAAGACUGGGAUAACUUCGGGAAACCGAAGCUAAUACCGGAUAGGAUCUUCUCCUUCAUGGGAGAUGAUUGAAAGAUGGUUUCGGCUAUCACUUACAGAUGGGCCCGCGGUGCAUUAGCUAGUUGGUGAGGUAACGGCUCACCAAGGCAACGAUGCAUAGCCGACCUGAGAGGGUGAUCGGCCACACUGGGACUGAGACACGGCCCAGACUCCUACGGGAGGCAGCAGUAGGGAAUCUUCCGCAAUGGACGAAAGUCUGACGGAGCAACGCCGCGUGAGUGA
rnacentral:rRNA from 1 species